rnacentral:rRNA from 1 species
AUUGAACGCUGGCGGCAUGCUUUACACAUGCAAGUCGAACGGUAACAGGCCGCAAGGUGCUGACGAGUGGCGAACGGGUGAGUAAUGCAUCGGAACGUGCCCAGUCGUGGGGGAUAACGCAGCGAAAGCUGUGCUAAUACCGCAUACGAUCCUGUGAUGAAAGCGGGGGACCGAAAGGCCUCGCGCGAUUGGAGCGGCCGAUGUCAGAUUUGGGAGUUGGGGGGGUAAAGGCUCACCAAGCCAACGAUCUGUAGCUGGUCUGAGAGGACAACCAGCCACACUGGGACUGAGACACGGCCCAGACUCUUACGGGAGGCAGCAGUGGGGAAUUUUGGACAAUGGGCGCAAGCCUGAUCCAGCAAUGCCGCGUGCAGGAAGAAGGCCUUCGGGUUGUAAACUGCUUUUGUACGGAGCGAAAAGGCUCUCUCUAAUACAGGGGGCUCAUGACGGUACCGUAAGAAUAAGCACCGGCUAACUACGUGCCAGCCGCCGCCGUAAAAC